GCCCCCUUCGUCUAGUGGCCCAGGACGUUAGAUUUUCAAUCUGAAAACAGGAGUUCGAUUCUCCUAGGGGGUG